CUGAUGUCCUCUCCUGGUAUGUCUGAAGACAACUACAGUGUACUCAUAUGCAUAAAAUAAGUAAAAAAAAAAAAAUCAGUUGGGACACACACAUAUUUUCUUGGUAUUUUUUUAAUUUGUUUAUUUUAUUUAUGUGAGUACACUAUAGCUGUCUUCAGACACACCAGAAGAUGGCAUCAGAUCUUAUUACAGAUGGUUUUGAGCCACCAUGUGGUUGCUGAGAAUUGAACUCAGGACCUCUGGAAGAGCACUCAGUGCUCUUAACUGCUGAGUUAAGCAACCCUGGUAUUAUUAUUAUUAUUAUUAUUAUUAUUAUUAUUGUUAUUUAAAAGUAGUUGAGUAUGGGUAGUUCACACUUGUGAUAAUCCAAAAGUAAACGACAAAAGGUUGUAGUUAUCCCCAGGAGUGAAACAGGAGGAAUUUGAAUGAAGUAAAUUUAUGAAAAUUUCUACCAUUUAAAUGAAUUGAUUUUUGUAGGUAAACUGCUUUUUACUUGUGAGCUAUUGAGUGAAUGGCUGAAAUGUAGAGCUGACUUGGAGUGAAAUAAAAGCCACUGGCAACUGCUGUAUGGUACCUGUUCCUCCAGGUCAUGCUGUGGCUGGUGCAAUCCCAUCAUUCAGUGUAGGCCAGUGCUCACAGGUAACCUUUCAGAAGAUGGAGAAAGGAGGAAGAGCCAGGUUUGCUAGGAAGGAGUUUGGGGACUAUUUGCAUUAGCAGACAACAAACAUAUUUCAGUUGACAAGAGUAUUGUCUUUUUUUUUUUUUUUUUUUUUUUUUUUUUUUUUUUGAGACAGAGUCUCUUGGAUCCCAGGCUGGCCUAGAACUCACCAUAUGGUGCAAGCUGCCCUUGAAAUUCCCAUUCCCUACUGCAGUCUGCUGAGUACAAGGGUUACAGACUUGCAUCACAAGGCCCAGCAUCCUUUUUUAUUGUUGGCUUGCUUUAUUCCACGUGUCCCUUUGACUAAGUGGCAUGUCCCUGGUGACCAGUCUAGCAGCAGCUGUGCCUGUAUUUCUUUGGUCUGUCAUGCUCAUACAAGGCUCCACCACAGAUGGAGUGAAAGAGGUAGUCAGCCCGUCAUGGUGGUUACAUGUUUGCAGGGUGUUCAUUACCCAUAGCUGUGAUAAAAUUCCUCCACAAGAGCAGUUUAGAGGAGAAAGAACUUACCUUGGCUCACAAUUCCAGGUCCAUCAUUGCAGAGAAGUCAAGGCAAGAAGAGCUUGAACAUCUUCACAUCCCCCAUCCAGAGCACAUGCUCACUCAUGCUCUCUCC
rnacentral:lncRNA from 1 species